rnacentral:rRNA from 1 species
GAUGAACGCUAGCUACAGGCUUAACACAUGCAAGUCGUGGGGCAUCAUGAUGUAGUAAUACAUUGAUGGCGACCGGCGCACGGGUGAGUAACGCGUAUCCAACCUACCCUCCACUCAAGUAUAGGCUUCCGAAAGGGAGAUUAAUCCUUGAUAUCGUCAUUCUCUCUCCUGUUAGAAUGAUAAAAGGACAUCGUUUCGGUAGAGGAUGGGGAUGCGUUCCAUUAGGUAGUAGGUGGUUUAACAGGCCACCUAGCCGAUGAUGGAUAGGGGUUCUGAGAGGAAUAUCCCCCACACUGGUACUGAGAUACGGACCAGACUCCUACGGGAGGCAGCAGUGAGGAAUAUUGGUCAAUGGGCGCAAGCCUGAACCAGCCAUGUAGCGUGAAGGAUGACGGUUUUUUUGAUUGUAAAC